GUCUACUGGUGUGUGGUUGGCGUUCAGCACUAAGGACAGGUGAAUCUACUGGUGUGUGGAUGGCGUUCAGCACUAAGGACAGGCUAAUUUACUG
rnacentral:pre_miRNA from 1 species